ACACCUCGCCCUGCCACGCCAAUGGCGAAUAACGAGGCUAAACCGCCUUGAUCUCUUACCUCCCCCUCAAUGUCUGUUAAAAAACUUCCGGCUCCUGGGCUUACAAGGUGAACUUCGUCGUAACCGACUCAUCCACCUUUGCACUGUAGUCUGGCCUCUACAAAUUAGAUGAUUCUCAAUGGCCACCCAAGGGGUCUUUACAAUACCAAAUCUUAACCCAUCUGGACAAUUUCUGCCAUCGGCCGGGAAAAUGGAUAGAAAUACCCUACGUCAUGGCCUCUUGGGACCUCAGGUCUCACCCCAACCUAUGUUCCUCCUGCCCCUCUGCAUGCAUGCUCCUUGCCCACCCACAACCCCCUGACGACCCCACCUCACCAACUUCCCCGAUCUUCGACCCGUUAGAGGAUCUAGCCACAUCGCGCACCAGCCCUCGCCCCCCUCCGUACUCCCAACCUCCAGCCGUCCGCCCUCGCCUCCCAUAUCAUCCCGAACUCGUGCUCAGGCCCCUCCCAGCGAACAGACCCCAGCGGCCAUCUUACCUCUCCGUGAGGUGGCAAGACCUGAAGGCCUGGUUCGCCUUCACGUUCCCUUCUCCCUCCAAGACUUGUCCACCAUUGAAAAGCGGCUAGGGUCAUUCUUGUCUGACCCCACCCAAUACAUUAAGGAAUUCUAAUAGCUUGCCCAAGCCUACAGUCUCACAUGGUAUGAAAUCUAUGUAAUCCUCACCUCUACCCUCACCCCUGAGGAGAGGGAGUGCAUCCAGGCUGCAGCCAGGGAACAUGCAGACCAAACUCACAUGACCGACCCCACUAUGCCUGUAGGGGCCGAUGCUGUCCCGACGGCCAACCCCAAUUGGAACUACCAACAUGCAGGCAAUGGUCACCGGCGCCGGGACCAGAUGAUCCCGUGCCUACUAGCAGGCAUGAGGGCAACCUCAACCAAAUCAGUAAAUUUUAACAAACUUCAAGAAAUAAUACAGGACGCCAGUGAAAAUCCCGCAGCCUUCCUUAGCCGGCUCACAGAGGCACUUACCCAGUAUACCAGAUUAGACCCUACCACCCCCACCGGGGCCACAGUAUUGGCCACCUACUUUAUUUCCCAAUCAGCCCCUGAUAUUAAAAAAAAAAACCUAAAAAAGGCCGAAGAUGGUCCUCAAACCCCCAUGGCCGACCUGGUAAAGAUGGCUUUUAAAGUUUUUAAUGGCCGAGAGGAAGCUCAAGAACAACGGCGAUAGGCCUGUCUCUAACAAAAGGGGACAACAGACUAGCAACUCCCCCACGUGGCGAGGCUUCACCCCGAUUGGACUCUGCCUUCCAACUGCUGGAGAUGGAGGAUGAUGACUGAGGAGGCCCAGACUCAGUAACUCCGGUGACCCACGCUGAGCCCAGGGUAAAACUCCAGGUAGCGGGAAGCAGCCAGAUCAGAUCCGUCGCCCAUUAUCACCAAUAAGAGGUUGGAAUGUUAGGAUGUCCUUGGAACCACAGUAGAGGGGACGGCCAUCUUGCCAGCGCAACCCAAUGAAAAGCCCCUAGUAGCGUGCCAGAACGAAUUGGAGGUCAACCAAUCACCGAGCGACAGCAUGACCUGAUGCGAAAAAGGCCCACCUGGACCUAAACCUGGAACCGCUGCAGCUUAAAAACCUCACCCACCACACCUGGGGGCGACUUCCCUGACUCCUCACUCUCUCUCCCUGAGUCACGGAACCUCGCCCGCGAGACCUUAGUUCCCAAAUAAAGCCUUUGACCGCUAAAAUUUUUUAGCCUCUGACUCCUAUCUUUACCCUGCCUUACGCCUGACCCUAACACACCCAAUGUUUUUUUCUCUUCUGCCCUUCAAUUUCUGAGCCUAUCUUAACCAAGAAGCCCUCCUAUAUACUAACCAGGGAAGUGGUAAGCUUUUUCCAUCUCAGCAAAUUUGAAACAUUUACCUGUUUUGUUUUGCAAAGAAUGUGUCUUUUCUACCCACUCUGCUUACCUCAAC